GGGCCCUUAGCUCAGCCGGUAGAGCAGCUGGCUUUUAACCAGACGGUCGGGGGUUCGAUCCCCUCAGGGCCCACCA
rnacentral:tRNA from 1 species